UUUGAAAUGCUGAGUGUCAAAUGAAGCCACAUCUGGUCUACAGAACAUUUCUCUCAAGAUGGUGCUUUGUGUCAGUUUUAGAAGACGAGAGUGUUUACGCACAUCUACUUGGGAGACCGAGGGCACAAAGGGGAGAUACCAAGACCUUGCUGGGGAAAGAGUUAAUGUGUUUGCAUCCAGAGAAGACCGCACC